UAUCAGUCUAAAAUGUGUGUAUUGGUAUGAUAAUUAUCAUCAUCAUCAUAUCUUAAGACUUCUUACUUUUGCAUUGGCUCUCAGUCCAUCAAGGUCAAGGAACAGCUUCUGAAAAAAGUACACUUCAGGUCUUUGCAAUAGCUCAGAUUGAGAGCACAGCACAGCACCUUGGGAAAUCCUGUCAGAUCAAGGUUUGCUGUCACACCUGGAUGCACAGCUGGAGUCACUUCCUCUUCAUCAGUGGAGGAACUUUAAUCCUGUGUUAGUAGGAAUUCUGUGGUUAGAUCUUUUUUGCAUUGGUGAACUGGGUUAAUCUAACUUGUUUUAGAUGGGAUAUUUGGUAGGGUUUUUUCUUUUUUUUACAUCAGAAGGGGUUUGUUAUUUUGACCUUGGAGACCCUGGAGUACUUAUGGUGUCUUGAAGCCCAAUGACUGUGUUGAAUCUUUGCAGCCAAUUGCUUCGUCAGAAGGCAGACUACACAAAGCCUGAUAUCUGAUAUUUAUCUAUACCAGGGGUAGGCAACCUUUCUGAUGAUGAGUGCCAUCUAAAGUUUCCUCAGAAGUCAAUGUGCCAUAUAAUUGCAUUGGCAAUAAAUUUAAUAAUGCUCUAUAUGAACAGUUACACACUAUAUAGAACAACUUUAUAGAAUUAUAUUUGUUCGCAGAUGUUGGCAGCUAUCAGUGAAACGUUAUCAGCUAUUUUAAAACAAAAAAAGACUUUUUAUCCAUAACAAGAACUCCAUAACAGCAAAUGAACUGUACAACAGAAAAUGCAAAUGCUAUUUAUGGUCUCCUCACAACAAUGAUAAGAAAAAUAAACUGUACAAUAUGGCAUGUUUGUUAAUACAGGGACACACAUGUUAAUGUGAUCUCUGGUCUCCCACUCAGAGACACAGGUCUCCGAGUGUCCAGCAUUCAGACAGCUACCUGAGGAUACUCAUGUGAGAGAAAAUCUGCUCACACAGAUAUGUAGAGCCAAAAACUGUCAAUAAGGCCUCUGCAAUGUUCUGAAGACAGUUAAACUUGCCAGGUAGUGAUGUCCAGCAGGUGAAAAUGCAAGCUCCAUGAACAUGCACAGCUGUGGAUUCCAUCUGCAUCUGUUGUUCUGCAAA
rnacentral:lncRNA from 1 species